rnacentral:lncRNA from 1 species
ACUGCUGUGUGUGUCCUCUUCUGCAGGUGGCUGCCCUCCCUCCAGCCUCUGCUGGUGCAGACAAGGCCAACAGUGGCUGAGCCAGGGCCAGACUGCUGGCCACUGAGUUCCUGAGCAGUGUCACUUCAUCACAAGGUUUUCCUAUGACCUCCCAUUUUGCCUUGACACACACCGGAAGCUCAUGUGAAGGGGUCUGUGCUUGGGGACCUGGGGGGCUGCAGUCAUGCUCCAGUGGCUUACCUCACAUCCCCGAGUUCCCCACGGCUCUCCCAGCACCAUCCAUCAGCCCCAGAAGCAUUGCAGGGCCGGAGACCCCAGGACAAGGCAGAGCCGCUUUGUUCUGGGAGACUGCAAAGUGACAUUACCAGGAAGAAACCUGCUUGGCGCUAUUAAAAGCAGAAGGGACUCUGCAGAGAACAGCAGGUCUGCACUGUGGGCAGGAUAGGACUGGCCCCUCCCAACAGGCUCCCUCCGCUCUGGGGGCCCAGGGGCAGCUCCCCUUCCCUUGUCAGCUGAACUUGAGGAUGGCAAGGAGUGAGCGAGGGAGGAUGCAGAGAGAGGGAGCACCCCCCUCACACACACCCGUCUCCCACGGGAUGUGCCUCCCAGGUCAAAGCCAGCUCCCUCUCCUGGUCAUGCCUUCAAUAGACUGUUCUAGAAAGCGGUUGUGAAAGUUAGAGGGAAAAGAGAACAGCGUCUAUGUAGAAGUUCAUUACUUGCACCAAACCUAUUUCCAAAGCAGCUUUAGAGGUGACUUCUACUUUAAAAAUAUGUAACACACGUAUACAGUUUGUGCUCAGUGUUUUAACUCUAGGAAGUGAGCAUGCUGAUCUCGCAGAGGCAGUGCAAAGACACGCGUGUGGACUGGAAGGGAGGAAUGAACACUGCAGGCACAGACGUGGGGACACUUGAAGGAAGCAGUGGUCUCGGGACGCACGCACACUGGUUUUCAGAUCUUCCUAGGUCUGAACUCUGCCGAACACACAGCGAGCUCUGCAGGAAGGGC